ensembl:lncRNA
GGGGGAGGGGGGAUUAGAGCGGGUGAGCGUCUAGCUUCCUAUCAGGCAGGGAGACCCAGGGACGCAUGAUCGCACCUAUCCUGGCUACAGUGGAGGUGUGUCCAAGAGUCUGUCGUGGGUGAGGGUGGGGGUAGGGGAGCAUCUCGCUGGACGUUUCUCAGGCCGAGCUAGGUGAAUGGACAGGGGAGGAAACAGUUUUUCUUUUCAGCAGUUCAGGCCGGGGAGGUCCGGCUCCGUGAGGCUGAGGCUGCGAGGUCCCCGAGGGCUGCCAGGUGGAGGCGGGGCGGGGUAGGAGGCUGAGGUGGAAAAGUAUUAAGGAAGAGGGUGGGGAGAAUCUCACUCGUAAAAGAGGUAAACGUUCCUGGAGGUAAGGGUCUGGGCUUGGAGUCACCAAAGAACCGGGUUUGAAUCCUCUCUCUGUCCUUGCCAGCACACACGUGUGCCUUCCUCUCUCCGUUUUGGGGAAAGAUUCCAACACUCAUGACUUUGUGCAGAUCCUUGUGCUGAACAUUACAGGACUUUCCCCUCCGUGAUGCCCUCAAAACGACCCUGAAAUAGGUGGGUGCCAUUUUAUGGGUGAGGAAACUGAGGCUCAAGGAGGCUACGUGGGAGAAGCCGAAGGUGAGCUCAGUCCCCAGACGUGAGAAUGAUCCGGCAGUUAUCUGGAGGGAAGUGGAAGGUGCCGUUCCCACCCCCACCCCAGGCAUCCUGGCCUGUCCGGAAGGAAGGGUCGUGCCAAGCCUUGAGACUUGCGUGGUUUCCUUUAGCAAAACUGCGUCAGGCUCUCUCUGGGGGGUAAACCGCCUCUGACUCGUGACAGCCUCUCUACUACUUAAGAUCAGAAAGGGGAAACCAGUAGAUUUCAUUGAAGUUCCCUGGGCAGGAGCCGUGGGUUAAAGAUAAAGCCGCCCUUGAGGAGGGAGGGAGAGAGUGCUUAUAACUUUUUGCCCUUUUCAAAACCACCUAGAAUUACUAAUGGAAGCCUUCAUUUAACAAUAACAGAGCCAUUUAUUAAUUUAGCCUAGUUGGGAUUGAGGCUUGGCAAGAGGUGGCCCCACCAUGGGACCGCACUGAUGUGCUCCAAGGGAGGGUCUGAGCCAGCAGAGUGGGUGGUAGAGUUAAUCUAACUUAGAUUGUACCUAAUCUCUGAGCCUCACAUUCUUCAUCUGUUAAAUGGGCUUCAUUGUGAGGAGUGGAAAAAUAAUCAUGACACCCACUAGAGCUUUUCUUGGUGCCACCUGUGAUCUGGAUGGAAAAGCAGUCCUCCCUGAAGAGUGUCCUCCACCCCACCCUUACUCCCCAGUUUCCUGGGACCCCUCAGUUACAGGAAGAGGCUUUUUCCCAGGUGCUCUUGCAGUUCACUUCCCAGGGCCAGAUUUGUUAACACUUAUGCUUACUCCUUGGAAGGAAAGUUAUGACCAACCUAGACAGCAUAUUCAAAAGCAGAGACGUUACUUUGCCUACAAAGGUCCAUCUAGUCAAGGCUAUGGUUUUCCAGUGGUCAUGUAUGGAUGUGAGAAUUGGACUGUGAAGAAAGCUGAGCGCCGAAGAAUUGAUGCUUUUGAACUGUGGUGUUGGAGAAGACUCUUGAGAAUCCCUUGGACUGCAAGAGGUCUAACUAGUCCAUCCUAAAAGAGAUCAGUCCUGGGUGUUCAUUGGAAGGACUGAUGCUAAAGCUGAAACUCCAAUACUUUGGCCACCUCAUGCGAAGAGUUCACUCAUUAGAAGUGACCCUGAUGCUGGGAGGGAUUGGGGGCAGGAGAAGGGGACGACAGAGGAUGAGAUGGCUGGAUGGCAUCACCGACUCGAUGGGCAUGAGUUUAAGUAAACUUCAGGAGUUGGUGAUGGACCCGGAGGCCUGGCGUGCUGUGAUUCAUGGGGUCGCAGAGUCGGACACGACUGAGCAACUGAACUGAACUGAACUGAACACCUAGGACUUCCCAGGUGGCGCUAUUGGUAGAGAAAACCCCGGCCAGUGCAGGAGAUGUAAGAGACAUGGGUUUGAGCCCUUGGUUGGGAAGAUCCCCUGGAGGCGUGGCAACCCACUCCAGUAUUCUUGCCUGAAGAAUUUUAUGGACAGAGAAAUCUGGCAGGCUAUAGUCCAUGGGGUCGCCAAGAGCUGGACACGACUAAAGUGACUUAGCACAGCAUACAUGGAACACCAAAGAGUUGCUAUUAGGUGGCUAACAUAUGUCACAGUCCGUGGUCCACGGACCCAUUUCAUUAUACGCAGGUUGACUAAAUGAAUGCAGUAAUCAAGUGACCAUCUAUCUACCAGUGUCUGCCCUCUGGAGCCAUCAGUACUGCUUGGCCACAGAUAUUUUCAUGCAGCUGCCCGUUGUUGGGACUGAGAUGGAGACUCCCCAGCUGGGACCCUGCAUGGAUGUGUCUGGAUUUAAUGGACUGUUUUCUAAUUUGUGAUUCCUUCAUAAAGAACCCCCCUUUCAGGAUAAUUAUAGAGUCCUGUAUUAAUCUAUUAAUUGGGCCUGAUUUCUAUGCCUCAUGUUUCCUCAGCUUGCUGCCCCAGCAGCAAAAGCAGGAUGAGGCUGACCGGGACAUCUGAGCUGGGGAACCAGGAGGGUUCAGUGAAUUGAGUCAAAGGCCCAGGAGG